UCCUCUCCUUCCCCCGAGCCGCCAUCGAAACGAGCCCGACGAAGCCAGAGUCGCAGCCCUCUCCCCCAUCUACCUCUCCGUCUCUCCACCCGUGCUCUUGCGGCAUCCCAUCGAUCCGAGGCCGACUACGCCAGAUCCGCCGUCAUGGCCGCACGUUCUUGCGCUGCAGACGUGCAGUGAUGGGCGGUUCCGACUCCUCCGGCUGCACGUUCUUCCUCGAUGUCGUCUUCGAGUAGUAGCCCAUCUGCAGGUUGGUGGAGCGCUGGAGCACGGUGCAACCCGCGUGGCCGCCCCGCGUCAGAUCUGAAGAGCAAGGCGACGGAGGCCUUCAUCGACGACUGGGUAGCAAGGUGUUGCAGCUGGAGCAUGUGUUCAUCAGGAAGAUGAUGUUCAGGUUCACGAUUAUACCCUACAUGCUCCAUGAUCGAGUGCAACGACAACUGGAACUGCCAGAUCGAGAAUCACCUUCACA